UUUACUUCCACGUUCUGUGCAUUUCUCCCUAUUAUAACAGCUGUCUUUUCUCUCAGUUCCAUAAUGUAUACUGCCUAAUGUCUACUUAUGUUAAUUAAAAUGGCUACAGGUCUGUAGUUUUUAAAAAUAAAUUUAAAUAAAUAAAUAAAGCAUUCUUAUAUUUCUCCAGAGCAAGAAAAUGAAAUGAAAGAACAUUCCACUGGGAGAAAAACAAACAAACAAAAAGAUUUACUGCAUGAUCUCUCAUUCAUGACACUGGAUUUAUAACUGUGCAGGUUCUAAAGGCAUGUAGUAAGAAGAAAUACUGCUUUAGGUGAGAAAACACAGACAGAAAAAGAACUCUAUCAAAAUAAGCAAAUAAAAUAGCAAUGAUGGUCUUGGGAAAUGAAAUAAUAGUGAAUUAGACCCACAGCAGUGAGUCUAACAGAGAUAUGUUGUAACUAAAGGACUCUUUUGAGGUCUCAGUCAGAAUCCAGCAGUUUUUUUCUCAAAAAGAGACUUUGCUGUAUCUUACAUUGUUAUCUGAGAAUGCAAAUUCACACCAGGAGCCUGUAUAAACCCUGUUAUGCCUAAGGCUGACAAGCCUUACCACUAGAUGAAGAAAAAUUUCUAGAAAAGCAAUCGCUCUCUCUUUCCUCUGUUGCCUUCUACUCAAGCAUGUAUAUAAGCCUUGGGAAAGUACACUGCCCUGUGUCUAUCUCCCUGCCUUGGACAGUAAGAAGAUGUGUCUUCUCAGAGAAGAGAGCAACUGAAACAGCAAAUCAUUUCCCUCCUGAAGAAUGAGACACAAGAAGAAGAUUGUUUGGAAGUGACAUUUUUUCUCAGCCAACACACAGCACAUGUCUGUUUUAACUCUGUCUUAAAAAUUAUGUAUAACAUACAUGUAUAUUACUGGUAGGAAUAAAAAAUAAAUAACUUAAAGGUGUUUCAGGUGUGUCAUACAGAAUUAAAUCUCUAGGCCUUCUGUACUAGCUUUUAAACAUCACCUUUGAGUAUACUGAUUCAAUCUGUUUAAAAAGUAAAAAUCUG